GGUACUGUCAGAGUACUGUUUCGUGCAAACUUGCUUACUGAAAUCCUCUGCAUUGAAGGGUAUAGGUUAGAUGUGCACCCCGUUGAUUGUUGGCGAGAUGUGACAUCGGUUCAGAGACAUUGAAUAUCUAAGGCAAAGUUCAGUCAAUGACUAAAUUAUCAGUAUGAAGAAUUAAUAUGAAAGAAGAAGAGUCUUCAAAGUGUUUUUGAAUGUUAUGCAGCUGAAGCAAUGUUUGUCUAUUAUUCAUGUGAACAUUUUGAAAUAAGCAGGUUAUUCCCGAUUUCUUCCAACUUCCUGUGAGUAUCACUUAUUAACUUUGAGUUAACUUCACUUAAUGAGUGAUGGACACAACCUCCCUCAUCUACUCCUCUGUGACCACAUGAACUCCCCCUCAGGUUAUAGCCGACACAGAGUUACAUAACCCGGACGAGGGCUACCAGAGGGACCUGUUUCGGAGGGUUGAUUGCGAUAGCAGACAAACUUCAAUCAGAAAGAGCAAUAAACAGCCUCUGCCAGGGGCCACGAAGGAGUGGGAUGGUUAGAGAGAGAGGGGGAGGGCUGGGAGAGAGAAAGGACCGCGGGAGACGAGUGCGAUCCGCGAUGGCGAAACCCCGUGAGUUUGCGAUGCCAAAUCCCAGAGCUAUGGACUCCUUUGAUUGGUAACCUAGGGGAAUAUUUUAAUGAGCCUCCCUUCCUCCCAACACAAGUCAAUAGUUAAUGUUGUGUUGCUACUUGAGCUCCUAUCUUACUGUGGGUGCACUCUCAGGGCUGGCUGGAUUCAAUCUGUAUUGUGGAAAAAACCCAUGUUAUAGCUCUAUAAAAAUUUGAAGGCAAUGUUCCCUGCAUUUAUGGUAAACGCUGCAUAUGUCAGCGCAAUCGGAAAUUACAUUUACAUUUUAAAGCAGAUCUUCUGCGAUAUUUAUGCGAUACGGAUAGAAUCCAACCUUUAACCUGUGAGAUAGCAGCUUUAAAGUAUAAAUCUGUUGACAUUGUGAUUUUGUCAUUAAGGUAUCUAUAUUUGAAUGCACACUUGUCGAUUAUGGUCUUGGGCACGACUGCACUACAAGCAAGCAAUGAAAGUAUAUUUCUAAGAA